rnacentral:tRNA from 1 species
GGGAAUGUGGCUUAGUGGUAGAGUGCUUGCCUAGCAUGCAUGAAGCCCUGGGUUUGAUUCCUCAGCAUCA